rnacentral:tRNA from 1 species
UCCCUGGUGGUCCAGUGGGUAAGACGCUGUGCUCCAAAUGCAGGGGACCAGGGUUCAACCCCUGAUCAGGGAA